rnacentral:rRNA from 1 species
AUUGAACGCUGGCGGCAGGCCUAACACAUGCAAGUCGAGCGGAUGAAGGGAGCUUGCUCCUGGAUUCAGCGGCGGACGGGUGAGUAAUGCCUAGGAAUCUGUCUGGUAGUGGGGGAUAACGUCCGGAAACGGGCGCUAAUACCGCAUACGUCCUGAGGGAGAAAGUGGGGGAUCUUCGGACCUCACGCUAUCAGAUGAGCCUAGGUCGGAUUAGCUAGUUGGUGGGGUAAAGGCCUACCAAGGCGACGAUCCGUAACUGGUCUGAGAGGAUGAUCAGUCACACUGGAACUGAGACACGGUCCAGACUCCUACGGGAGGCAGCAGUGGGGAAUAUUGGACAAUGGGCGAAAGCCUGAUCCAGCCAUGCCGCGUGUGAAGAAGGUCUUCGGAUUGUAAAGCACUUUAAGUUGGGAGGAAGGGCAGUAAGUUAAUACCUUGCUGUUUUGACGUUACCAACAGAAUAAGCACCGGCUAACUUCGUG